rnacentral:rRNA from 1 species
UACGUAGGUGGCAAGCGUUGUCCGGAAUUAUUGGGCGUAAAGAGCUCGUAGGCGGUUUGUCGCGUCGACUGUGAAAACUGGGGGCUUAACUCUCAGCUUGCAGUUGAUGCGGGCAGACUUGAGUUCGGUAGGGGAGACUGGAAUUCCUGGUGUAGCGGUGAAAUGCGCAGAUAUCAGGAGGAACACCGGUGGCGAAGGCGGGUCUCUGGGCCGAUACUGACGCUGAGGAGCGAAAGCGUGGGGAGCGAACAGG